AAUGAACGUUGGCGGCGUGGAUUAGGCAUGCGAGUCGUGCGAGAACCGUAGCAAUACGGGGACAGCGGCGAAAGGGAGAGGAACACGUGGAUACCUACCCUCAGGUUCAGGAUAGCUAUGGGAAACUAUAGGUAAUACUGAAUAAUAUCUCCGGAUCAAAGGUGUGAUUCCGCCGGAGGAGGGGUCCGCGUCCUAUUAGCUAGUUGGUGAGGUAAUGGCUCACCAAGGCGAAGAUGGGUACGGGAUGUGAGAGCAUGAUCCCGCUCAUUGGGACUGAGACACUGCCCAGACACCUACGGGUGGCUGCAGUCGAGAAUCUUCGGCAAUGGGGGAAACCCUGACCGAGCGACGCCGCGUGUGAGAUGAAGGCCUGGUGUAAGUCACUGUCGUAGAGGAGGAAGUGUAGGUGGGUUCGUCCCUACUUACUUUGUACCUAUUCUAGGAGGUAAGGGACGGGACGUAAGUUCGU
rnacentral:rRNA from 1 species